rnacentral:lncRNA from 1 species
ACCCGAAAACUACUAAGGAGGUUCCUUUCAUCAGCGACUGGGGAAAGGCUCCCUUUUAUGGGUCUUCUGACGUUUUCUGGGAGCAAGUGAAGAAUUAUGAUCGUACAACCUUUCCUCCUCCUGAGAAAGCAGGCUUAUUUCUAUAUGCUACGGCUUGCGCAAGUUUAGACAGCUUUCCCUGUUCUGCUCGCAUUCCUCGUAUGUGUAUAGAAAAACAGGAAUACCCCUACAGUCCCAUUCAUUUCAUAUCCGACUCAUCCAAUCGUCUUCAGGGGUGGCAACAUUGGACCGACGAGGUUCUCGCAAAUUCUGAUUAUGUGGAUAUACUGAAGAGGGCCGACAUUUUGCGUUGCAUUCAAUUAUGCAGGGAUCUUCGUAUCCGACAAGACCAAGAUGCUCUUACCGUCUUGAUUUCACGCUGGUGUUCUUCCACAUGUACAUUUGUCACUGCUUGGGGGGAGUUCACCCCAACUCUAGAGGACGUUUAUGCCAUUUACCAGUAAUCUUUUUUUUUUUUUU